rnacentral:lncRNA from 1 species
AGAAAAGUAAAAGAAAAUCUCGACUUUUGCUUUGAUCUUUGCUCAUGGAGUUUGUUUGAGGUCGUUGUUCAAAGGUUCGAGUUUCCGGUGAAGUUUCCGGGCAGAUCUUAUUUCCGCUCGAGUUUGUCCUAGAUUUAUCCGGUCAGUCCAUUCAACAUAUUGUUAGUGUUCAUUCAUGUUUAUUUAAGUUAGAAUUGUGUUAGUUCAUGCCUUUUAUCUGUGUUAAUCAUGGUUGGAAAUUUGACUUUGUUAGUUCAAUAUAAUUUUGUUCUGAUUCAAUAUGAUGUUAUUCUGAUUCAUGGGUCGUCAAUUGUGUUUCAAGCUUAAAAUUGUGAUGUGAGUUUCAUGAAUCCUAAUGUUGUUCUGACAUGAAUCUGAUCUUGAAUGUUGAUAUGAAUAUGAUUUUGUUGAAAUGAUUCCUUAGUAUUGUUGAUUGAGCGUUAAUUUCAUAUGUUAAUUAGUCAAUUGUUAGGCUUGAAUUGGUUAUAGUUGUUGUGGCGUAAGUGAUUAAUUAAGAAUCAGUGAAGUAAUUUAUUAGGUAUAUUUGGUUAGAGCUGAUUGAUUUUGUGCAGAUAGAAAGGGAUAGGGGCAAAGUAGUAAUUUUUAGUUAUUUCGGGGGUAUUUUGGGAAUUGAUUAAAUGUAGGCCCAUAACUUUUAAUUAAAAUAAAAGGGGACAAAGGGUAGUGGGGGGCAAGACAUAAUUAUUAAAGUAAAAGAGGGUGGGGACUUUGGGGUCCACGUUUGACUGCUUUUGCUGAUUGAGAAUUAGAAAUAGUAGGGUAAUAAUAAAAGGCGUAGUGAUAAUAAUUAAAUGGGAUGGGAGAAGGGUCUGCUGGUUUUGUUGUUGAGUUACUUCUAGUUUUGUUGCUGUUAUUUGCUGUGGUAUUCUACUUUUGUUGCUGUGUUGUGCUACUGCAGCACUACUGAUAUUUUCCUCUUUGCUUUCCGAAUACCAGGUACACAACUGAUACACUGGUUAAUGUAAGCUGAAAAUUGAAGCAUGAAUAAGAAAUGAAGAGUUGAAGUUUUAAAUUCGUUGUAGUUGUCUACUUGCUCGUAUAUAGAGUAGAAUACUUCUUCCAUUAGAG